UCCAUCACACUGGUCCUUGAUUUAUUUAGGCAGUGAUGUUUCCUCCCCUUUAAAAAUAGAAUAAGGGGGUAAAAACAGAGCUGGGAUAUAAAAUCUGACUUGGGCAAAAAAAUUAUUAUUUGCUCUCUGGCUCUCCUCGGUUAAGAAGAUUCCAUGAUGGAUAUCUGUAAUUGUGGGCAGUUAUCAGUACCAGAUGGAAACGCUUUUCAAAACCCCUUCUGCAAUUCAGACCAAAUUUUCUUCUUUCUUUUGCAGAUUCCUGUAAAAGAAGCCUGGUUCAGAAGCCCUGCUUGUGAAGGGAGGCAAGACACGCAGGUAACUAUCCUACUGAACACAAGGGCCACUGCAGAAGCAAUGCCUUUUACCAAAGAGCUUGCACCCCAAGGCAUUUCUAAGGCAAGAUCGGGCUCCACCCUCUUGGUGGAUUAAGAAGAACACACAGAUAGCAUUUCAUAAUGUGAAGAAGCAAGCCCGUGUGCAUUAUCUGACCUGACCUGAGGGACAAUAUGAUACCCUGGGAGGAACCUCCAGUACAAUGUUUAAUAAAAG